rfam:Picea glauca, whole genome shotgun sequence.
ACCUGCCUACAUAAUAGUGUUAAUGCACUCGAUACCAUUAGAACUUUGCAGUUAAGCAUGCUCAAGCUAGAGUAGAACUAGGAUGGGUGACCGCCCAGGAAGUCCUAGUGUUUUACAUGCC